rnacentral:snoRNA from 1 species
UCCGCCCUUAGUGACCUUACAGAUGUGACUGUUGUGUCACAAGUAUGUCAUUAGGGGGUUGUAUAGGGGAUU